CCUACGGGGGGCAGCAGUGGGGAAUAUUGGACAAUGGGGGCAACCCUGAUCCAGCCAUGCCGCGUGUGUGAAGAAGGCCUUUUGGUUGUAAAGCACUUUAAGCAGGGAGGAGAGGCUAAUGGUUAAUACCCAUUAGAUUAGACGUUACCUGCAGAAUAAGCACCGGCUAACUCUGUGCCAGCAGCCGCGGUAAUACAGAGGGUGCGAGCGUUAAUCGGAAUUACUGGGCGUAAAGCGAGUGUAGGUGGCUCAUUAAGUCACAUGUGAAAUCCCCGGGCUUAACCUGGGAACUGCAUGUGAUACUGGUGGUGCUAGAAUAUGUGAGAGGGAAGUAGAAUUCCAGGUGUAGCGGUGAAAUGCGUAGA
rnacentral:rRNA from 1 species